GUUGAAACACUAGUUCACAUUCAAUCACUGCAGUUAAGCAACAUCAAACUUGAUCAGUACCUAGAUGGGUAACCACUUGGGAAUAGCAGGUGCUGUAA